rnacentral:lncRNA from 1 species
GUACACCAGGCUGGCCUGAAACUUAAAGAACCACCUGCCUCUGCCUCCUGAGUGCUGGGAUUGUGUGAGCCACCACCGACCAGCAUAAUUUACUAUUUUCAAUGAAUUGGGACAGGAAGCUCAAAGCAGGGUUCUUCAGCAAUGACUUCAGAGAAGUCAGCUGAAGACAGUGGCUGAGGAAAAGGCUGGCGCAUGCCCAAGGAAAUCACAACCCCCAGAUGAAGUCAUGAAGUCAAGCAGAGCUGCUGUGCAAAGGAAGAGUAACUAUGUAUAAAGGUUGUUACAAUUUCAUGGCAAACUUUGUAGAACAAAACUUGGUGUACCAGUUGUUUAAAGGGCUCUUAGAAUGACAGAAAGUUUGCUUAGCUCCCACACAGAGUCCUAGGUUCAAUCCUCAGUACUGGAGAAAACAAAAUUAUCUGGGCCAAUGGCAUGACUCAGCAGGUCAAGGCUGGAGAGCCAAGGCUGAAGAGCUGAGUUCAGUCUCUGGGACCCAUAAGGUGGAAGGAGAGAAAGACCCCUGCAAGAGGCCCUCUGACCUCCAUUUGCAUUAACAGUCCCCACCCCACCCAAUAAAUAAAGUUCACAUAAUAAAAAUUUAAAGUAACAAGUGAGAUCUGGACAUGCACAGAUGCACAUGUAGAAACGGGAAAGGGACACGCCCAAAAUAGGGAAGAGACAACAGAAAGCAAACUUCUUUGUAUCUUUUUGUUUUAAACAGCUAAAUCAUGGGCAAUUUUGUUUUGUUUUUCUUCUCUCUGGUCGAUUCCUUUGCCUAGCCUUAGGAAAAUCAGGGUUCUUGACAUGUUCCUCCCUAUAAACUCCCUUUUCUUCUUUACCCAACAAGAGAAAACAGGACUCAGCAACAUAUCUGACAUCAGGUGUCACCAAGCAGAGCGUGAUGUAUCUGCUUAGUAACAGAGUGUCACAGACUCACGACUGUGCCUACUGAGCUCUAGGCCUGCUUCUCUAUGUAUGACACACGAGUAGACUGGUCACAGCGCUUGCUUUAGAAAGUGACUAUGGUUCCCGGUGGCUACAUUAAUUCCACCCAACUCCCGUGUGGUACGGGAGAGCUGUUUCAUGGCGCUGAGAGCACAUUUGCCCUGCAGUCAACACGUGGUCUGGGCUCGGAGGCAAAGGUAGCAAGUGAAGAAGCUGACUGGGCAGCAGGGAAAGAAAGAAGGGAUGGUGCCUGCUGGUCUCAUCCAGGCAAAAGACAGGGAACAUUGACAAGCAAGCUACUGGGAAGUUGGAGGGGAAAAAAGUAAUCAGAGGGCGAGAAACCAAAGCUUAGCAAGAAGGGCUGAGCUAGAGCUCAGCAGCAGAGCACGUGCCCAAUGCACACAAGGCCCUAGGUGCAAUAAUAAACACAUUAAUCAAUAAUAAAUUCUCAGAAUUCCUUGCCAGUAAGCUAGAGACAGUAGCGCAUACCCUACACUGCAGCUAAUCAUUAAUGUCCCCAACUGUCCGGAAGUAAUCAGCUGUCACCAACAAUUCCUAGGCAAAGCUCACCCUGGAAAUGUAAAAAUAACCCAAGGAAUAUAUAACCCUACAAAGUUCAGAGCUUUAAAAGACGUCAUGAAGGCUCAGUCAUUAGCCCCAUCACUUGGCAAAGAGACAGUAUUUUCCCAGGAACCUUGUGGUGACCCUGCCACACCUGAUGACACCCCAGCCCCCUUCUGCACACCCACCUUCAGCAGCUCCACAGCCACCAGCACCUCCUCCGCUGGAACUUUGUGAUCCCCCAGCAUGUUAGAAAGAGUCCACUUGAGGGGCUUCAGCAGGAAGACGCCGACCCCCCAGGAGAUCCAGCUGCUGUCCACACUGGCCAUGAAGUCUGACUCUCGCUGCAGCUCGCCUCGACUGUAGAGAGAGAGAGAAUGGCAUGUAGGGAUGUGUAAUGCGACAGACAGCCUGUCCUGGGCUCUUCUUACCCCUUUCCCCUCAGAGGCAUUAUAUUAACAUCAUCACCAUCAUCACCAUCACCUGUCUAUUCUGUACCAGCUACUAGAGGCAGUGUCACCUGCACUCUAGUGUUCAGCCUCCUAACCACUUUGUGCAAUAGAUGGUAUCACCAUCACGUUAACUAAAGAGGCGACUGAGGAUCUAAGAAGGCAAAGAAGGCCAGAUGGCACCCGGUUUGUCUGGCCUCAAAAAAUGCAAAUGUCCCACUAAGGCAACAGAGGCACAAAAGGCUUCACUGGGCCUAUGUGGAGGUUUUCUUCUAUCAACAGGCCUGGGAACAAUCAAAUGAAAAACCCUGUGUGUCAUGCAGAUCCGAGGAAGAAGGCCAAAAGCUACACAGACUGGGGUUUUAUGCUGCCUCUAAGCUAGGCUGGAAGUGAGAUGUAUUUCCUGGUGGUAGUAACAACAGCAGCCAAGUCUACGAAAUACCGGCCAUGGGAAAUUACUGCUAAGGGUUGUAUAAAGAUCUUCAAGUUUUC